UCUUUCAUUACAUUACAUUUUGUAUUGAUUAACAAUAAUUAGUUAAAAUUACCAUGUUUUUACUGCAGGUGCCUCCAGUGGGUGAAAGCCUUGAAAAUUGGCUUUCAAAAGCAUACUCAAGCCAUCUGUAGUGACCACUUUGAUGGGGUUCAUUUUGGCAGCAAGGGCCAGCUGCUGCCGACUGCAACCCCACGUCACACAGAUGGCCAUGAGGAGCAACCACCCACUGGGUUCCCGGCAUCAUCACACAAUGCAGCCGCCAUUGACUUGGAGCCAAUGGAGUUGGAACUCUCCUCUACACAGAUUGUGCUGCCACAUUAUGAUCCGAACACAGGUUUCGGUAAUACCCAAGAGAAUGUGGCAGCCGAAGAGGAGAGUCCAAGAAAGAGACCACGGGUGGAGCUGAACAGAACUCAGCCACCCCCAGAGGAAUGUGGCAUUAUCCAACCCCACACACAGCUGCUCAGUGUCCCCCAAGCCACACAUGAAAAUAAUGAGCUGCAGCCUGACACUGAUGAGUGUGCUCCCCAUUGCACUGCACCAGCUCCAUGU